GUGCUGACUUCAGCAGCACGUGUACUGAAACUGGAACCACACAGAGAAGAUAAUCACGGCCCCUGCACAAGGAUGACACGCCGCUUCGUGAAGUGUUCUGUAUUUUG
ensembl:snRNA U6 U6 spliceosomal RNA